UACAGAGGGGGCAAGCGUUGUUCGGAAUUACUGGGCGUAAAGCGCGCGCAGGCGGGCUUAUAAGUCGAUUGUGAAAUCCCAGGGCUUAACCUUGGAAUUGCAGUCGAAACUGUAAGUCUUGAGUGCCUAAGAGGAUGGCGGAAUUUCCGGUGUAGUAGUGAAAUACGUAGAUAUCGGGAAGAACACCUGAGGCGAAGGCGGCUAUCUGGUGGUGCACUGACGCUGAGGCGCGAAAGCGUGGGGAGCAAACAGG
rnacentral:rRNA from 1 species